AUAGACAGAGUCACUCACAGA
rnacentral:miRNA from 1 species